rnacentral:tRNA from 1 species
GGCCCCUUAGUCUAGUGGUUAGGACGUCGGCCUCUCACGUCGAAGACAUGGGUUCAAGUCCCGUAGGGGUCA